rnacentral:rRNA from 1 species
GCCCUUAGAGUUUGAUCCUGGCUCAGGAUGAACGCUGGCGGCGUGCUUAACACAUGCAAGUCGAACGAAGCAUUUGCGACAGAUUUCUUCGGAUUGAAGUUGCUUAUGACUGAGUGGCGGACGGGUGAGUAACGCGUGGGUAACCUGCCUCACACAGGGGGAUAGCAGUUGGAAACGGCUGAUAAUACCGCAUAAGCGCACAGUACCGCAUGGUACAGUGUGAAAAACUCCGGUGGUGUGAGAUGGACCCGCGUCUGAUUAGCUUGUUGGCGGGGUAACGGCCCACCAAGGCAACGAUCAGUAGCCGACCUGAGAGGGUGACCGGCCACAUUGGGACUGAGACACGGCCCAGACUCCUACGGGAGGCAGCAGUGGGGAAUAUUGCACAAUGGAGGAAACUCUGAUGCAGCGACGCCGCGUGAGUGAAGAAGUAAUUCGUUAUGUAAAGCUCUAUCAGCAGGGUAGAUAGUGACGGUACCUGACUAAGAAGCUCCGGCUAAUACG